rnacentral:rRNA from 1 species
AUUGAACGCUGGCGGCAUGCCUUACACAUGCAAGUCGAACGGCAGCACGGGAGCAAUCCUGGUGGCGAGUGGCGAACGGGUGAGUAAUAUAUCGGAACGUGCCCAGUCGUGGGGAUAACGUAGCGAAAGCUACGCUAAUACCGCAUACGAUCUAUGGAUGAAAGCGGGGGAUCGCAAGACCUCGCGCGAUUGGAGCGGCCGAUAUCAGAUUAGGUAGUUGGUGAGGUAAAGGCUCACCAAGCCGACGAUCUAGUAGCUGGUCUGAGAGGACGACCAGCCACACUGGGACUGA